rnacentral:rRNA from 1 species
CGUGAGGGAAAGUUGCAAAGUACUUUGAAGAGAGAGUUAAAUAGGGCGUGAAACCGCUAGCUGGUAAACGAGUGGAGCCACGAAGUCGUUUCGUAGAAUAAGGACGACAAAUUCAGGAGAGGUUAGUAACUUUACUGUUUUAGCUUUUUCGCAUUUUUGUUUCGUUCUCUAUGUAUACGUACACUGCAACCAAUUAGACGAUCAAUUGUGGAAAUAGUUGGUAGAUUUGUAAUAGAAAUAUUCUUAUUUAUUAACGAAAAUAUCUAUAUAUUAUCUAUAGGUAGCUUGAUUUUGUUGUAAAAAAUAAAAUUAAGUGUAUGAUAUGAUAGUAUGAGAACUACAAUUGAAUACUGAUUGGCAAAAUGAAAAUCCAUUCGUAAGAAUGGUCUAAGAUAAUAUUAAUUCUGCAGUAUUGUAGCGUACAAGUAUUUGGUAUUGGCUAAAGCUCGUUAGUUUUAAAUUUAGACAGGUAGGCUAUUCGUCGGUUUCGGCUGCGGAUGCUUAUUUUGCUUCUAUCUAAUUGGCUAGCGACUUUGUUAGUAUUUUUAUGCUUGUUAUGAUACGUUAUAAUAUUAGUGAAUUUAAUUAUUUAUUAGCAGUGAGUAGGUCGGCUUUCCACACGACCCGUCUUGAAACACG